GACGAACGCUGGCGGCGUGCUUAACACAUGCCAGUCGAACGCUGAAGACCUGGCUUUUGUUGGGUUGGAUGAGUGGCGAACGGGUGAGUAACACGUGAGUAACCUGCCCUCUUCUUUGGGAUAACGCCCGGAAACGGGUGCUAAUACUGGAUAUUCACUGGCCUUCGCAUGGGGGUUGGUGGAAAGGUUUGUUCUGGUGGGGGAUGGGCUCGCGGCCUAUCAGCUUGUUGGUGGGGUGAUGGCCUACCAAGGCUUUGACGGGUAGCCGGCCUGGGAGGGUGACCGGUCACAUUGGGACUGAGAUACGGCCCAGACUCCUACGGGAGGCAGCAGUGGGGAAUAUUGCACCAUGGGCGAAAGCCUGAUGCAGCGACGCCGCGUGAGGGAUGGAGGCCUUCGGGUUGUAAACCUCUUUCGCUCAUGGUCAAGCCGCAACUGUGGGUUGUGGUGAGGGUAGUGGGUAAAGAAGCGCCGGCUAACUACGUG
rnacentral:rRNA from 1 species